UGGGGGGGGGUUGUGUAUUUGUUUUCUGUUAGUGGUGUUAUUGUCUUAUUUUGUUACUGCUAUGUCAGUUCUUGCCUGCAGUUGAGGUUCCAGAGACAAGCUGUUCUCUACAGCAAGAUAACAAGUGGAGAGCCUUGGCACCUGAGAGGUCAGGAGUGAGAGUUGUGUCAAGUUGAGUGCAGGCCUGCUGGUGCAUGUUUCAAGGUGAAAAUACCAUCCUUUGUGCUUGGAGCAAGCUGGGAAUGCUCAGUUCAGGACAAUCUGCUCUUGUAGAAAGCCAACUUAGUGUGGCGGUCCUCUCAGUAAAUGGAGUAAUGGAGAGUUAGUUCAGAAGACAGCUUAAAAUUCUCUUUUGCUUUGCCAAAGACGUUAUCCAAAUUUUUACCUUUGGUUAUACG
rnacentral:lncRNA from 1 species